rnacentral:rRNA from 1 species
UGAGGAAUAUUGGUCAAUGGGGGCAACCCUGAACCAGCCAAGUCGCGUGAAGGAUGAAGGUCUUAUGGAUUGUAAACUUCUUUUACACGGGAAUAAAGUGGGGGACGUGUCCCCCUUUGCAUGUACCGUGUGAAUAAGGAUCGGCUAACUCCGUGCCAGCAGCCGCGGUAAUACGGAGGAUCCGAGCGUUAUCCGGAUUUAUUGGGUUUAAAGGGUGCGCAGGCGGGAUGUUAAGUCGGCGGUGAAAUUUUGCAGCUCAACUGUAAUAGUGCCUUCGAUACUGGCCUCCUUGAGUGUGGAUGAAGUAGGCGGAAUUUGUGGUGUAGCGGUGAAAUGCUUAGAUAUCACGAGGAACUCCGAUUGCGCAGGCAGCUUACUAAGCCACAACUGACGCUCAUGCACGAAGGCGUGGGGAUCAAACA